rnacentral:rRNA from 1 species
UACGUAGGGUGCAAGCGUUGUCCGGAAUUAUUGGGCGUAAAGAGCUCGUAGGCGGUCUGUCACGUCGGCUGUGAAAACUCGGGGCUCAACCCCGAGCCUGCAGUCGAUACGGGCAGACUAGAGUGCUGUAGGGGAGACUGGAAUUCCUGGUGUAGCGGUGAAAUGCGCAGAUAUCAGGAGGAACACCGGUGGCGAAGGCGGGUCUCUGGGCAGUAACUGACGCUAAGGAGCGAAAGCGUGGGGAGCAAACAGG